UUAUGAUUGGUGGCUGACAGCCUGCUGGAUGACGAUUGGACCCUGACAGAUUUAUUUAGUUAACCAUUGGUUCUUAUCAAAUUUGCCGCAAAAUAUUCGUAAAUCGGAAACAGCGCGAUCCAGAAUUUCUGUCAUCUGUCGGAAAUAUGUCGGUUUUGUUUUGGUGUGAAUUUUAGGAUAUUUAUAAUUACCACGUUCAUCAGCGAUUAGAUUAAAAUAGAAAAGAAGUGGAAUAUGGUACACUGUAUUGUAUCACGGCUACCCAAGGGUGUGAAGUAGAAUUGGAAUGUAAGCAGUGCAAUGUCCAGCCUCGCUUCCAACCUUUGGUUCUUGACAAUUCAUUAGACAGUAAUUAGUUCCUGACAAAUUGUUUAUCAUCACAUAGCUGGAGUAGUUUUCCAGGAGUAGUACAGCGAUUAGUUUCUAUCGUCUGACUUAAAUUUGUUUUACUGUGAUGGCAAGAAUGCAAAUUAUAAGGUUGGCUCGAGUUGUAAUCUAGACAAAAAUUCUCUAAGACAGACAGUUAUUGAUACAUAUGCUAUAUGAACUUGCAAGAGACACAAUUCAAGGCUGUUCUAAAAAAUAUUUACAGAGUAUUGCUGGAAAGAAUACCAUAAAGUUGGAAGACCUAACGAGAAGGCUAACAUAGUUAAUAUUUUGAUACUGUUUUCAAGUGCAAUAUUUAAGAGAAGCAAAAUAUGAAGAAUUAUUAGCAGGAAACUGAAAAAUUCAAGAAAGAACAUGUUCACUGAAUGAUAAAACCUCUGUGUUUCAAUAUCAUCUAUGUUGUCGAUUACCACAAAAUGUGUUAUAUUUAAGAUACGGUAGCUGUUGUAGAGCAUAGUAUCGAUUUUAGUUAAACAGAGAAGAAAAACAUAUCAAUAAAUAAUUCUUUCCUGCCUGCCAGAAAUAAUCAAGAUUCUCUAUCGACUUGAUAUUCGAAGUUCCAGACCAAAUGUCUGUAUAUUUGGCAUUUGAAAAGAAAAACUUCCUUCUGAAUGAAAUAUAAUGGAUAUUAAGCAAAUGAAAUUUGUUGAAGUUCUUGAGAUGUGGACAUAUAAAUAGUAAUGGACUUUUUGGGGAGUUCUAUGACGAAAUAGGAUGAUGCAUAAAACGAAAUGUCCUAUGAAGGCUUUGGAGAACAUUAAGAGAAAAUUAAUAAU